rnacentral:tRNA from 1 species
UUUUUAUAUGGCAGAAAAAUUGUAUCAAAUUUAGAAUUUGAAAAUGGAGUAUUCCUGUAAAUAU